rnacentral:lncRNA from 10 species
UCAGAUUACAGGCGGGAUCCACCGCACCUGGCCAGGAUGCUCCCUUCUGACAUCUCUUAAGGCCCCCGUGGCAGCCCCAGCCGGCCCCAAGCUAACGGGCCUCUCCACUCAGAAGGGGUGUGAUCCCCAUUUCACAGUGGGGUAAGGCAAGGCCCUCUGAAGUCUCAUGGCCAAGCCACAGAACCAGGAAGUGAUGUAGUGUCCUGUAACCAGGAAGGAAUUCCUACAGCCCAGAAGUGGUUGGACCAGGAAUGUGCCCAACCCCAGAGUCCACCCACUUCCAAGGCCUAUCGAGCAGGUCUCACAUGCACGGUCAGGCACUCAUGGAGGCUGCCCAGGACAUGGGAGCCAGGGGAGACUCCUCGUGCAGCCUGGGGGAAACCAGGGCAGACUCCCUGGAGGAAGCAACAAUAUACAGGGUUCCAUCUGUACAGGUAAAACCUUCCUCACGCAGCCUGGGGGAAACCAGGGCAGACUCCCUGGAGGAAGCAACAAUAUACAGGGUUCCAUCUGUACAGGUAAAACCUUCCUGACGCAGCCUGGGGGAAACCAGGGCAGACUCCCUGGAGGAAGCAACAAUAUACAGGGUUCCAUCUGUACAGGUAAAACCUUCCUGACGCAGCCUGGGGGAAACCAGGGCAGACUCCCUGGAGGAAGCAACAAUAUACAGGGUUCCAUCUGUACAGAAGCACGGAAAUGGAUGCUGCUAUGUAAACCUGGGAGCGGACCCCAACCUCAGAUGAGACCACAGCCCUGGGUCACUCGAGGAUUGCAGCGAUCCUGACCAGAGGACCAAGAUAAACCACGGUGCUGGACUCCUGGCCACGGAACUGUGAGAUAAUGAAUGUACGUUGUUUAAAGCCAUUGCAUCAGUGGCUAUUUCUUACACAGCGUAGAGAGCGAAUACACUCAUUAUAUAUAUGAGUCUGCUGGGACCCCCAUAGCAAAGUCCCACACUGAGUGGCCCCAACAACAGAAACUUAUUUUCUCCCGGUUCUGGAUACAGAAGUCCGCGGUCAAGGUGUCGGGAGGGUUGCUUUCCCCCGAGGCCUCUCCCCUUGGCUUGCAGACGCUUGUCUUCCUUGUGGAGCCUCCAUGGUGGCCCCUCUGUGUGUGUCUGUGUCCUAAUCUCUUCUGUAAGGACACCAGUCAGAUUGCAUUAGGGCCCACCCUAAUGGCCUUGUUUAACUUAAUUGCCUCCCCUCCCCUCCCUUCUCCUUUCC